rnacentral:rRNA from 1 species
AUUCGCUAGUAAUCGCGCAUCAGCCAUGGCGCGGUGAAUACGUUCCCGGGCCUUGUACACACCGCCCGUCAAGCCAUGGAAGCCGGGAGUGCCUGAAGUGUGCAACCGCAAGGAGCGCCCUAAGGUAAAACCGGUGACUGGGGCUAAGUCGUAACAAGGUACC